AUCACUGUAUGAGUUGAUACGAAUUGAAAUAAACACGUGUUUCCGCUUUGGUGUAAACAUGAUGGUGAUCCGAAAUCUGAACGUCAAUUUUCAUGAUUAUUUCACGACGAAGAUCAUCACAUCAAUGAAUCAAAUAAUACGGACAUGCCUUUGGUAUUAGCAGGUAAGAAUACGUGUAUAUUGACUGAAAAGUUUAAGUUUAAAACGCAUUAGUUCACGUUCAAAAGAAAACUAAAUGUACACAUGUACUAGAUCUUUAUGUUUCAGUGUGCGUGUUUCGUAUCGUUCAGCCAAUUUUGCAUUGCUUUUGAACUUUGAUGCUUUUGACAAUCACUCGGUGCUUUCAGCAUAUUCAACAAUACUUUCAUCUGUGAAUACCCACUUUCUAAGCCCACCAUGAACUACGAAGGUCAAUUAAUAUGUAAGGACACCAAUGAACAGUUUUUCAGACACUUUCCAAUUAUCCUACAUCAUAUACAUGGAUGGUCAAACUCACUGGAUGGUUUAUCAACACUCCCAUGCUCACGAACAGCCUUGCGCCAGGAAUUUUGCCCUGAAGUAACAUUGCAGUCUAUUGUCUCCUUUCUUUUUACAACCCUGGCAGCCAUGCAGGAUAGAAGCUGAUCACUUGUACCUGACAGCAAAUAAUGUCUUGGACAAGUCAAAGAAUUUCCUCCAGUCUUACAGAGAAAUGACAGUUGAUAAAAGAAUGGUGGACACAAAGUAAAAGUGCACUUCAACAUUUUGUUGAAGAUUUCAGUCUGAUUUGGAAUUCAUCUUGCAAUAUUUCUGGAUUUGUAUAUUUGGAUAUAAGCGUCGAAUUUUCAACUUAUUGACUAAACAGUUUUGCAUUAAAUAUUGCCAAUGCUAUCUAUUAUUAUUAUUUCCCUCCAAGAUAACAUGUCAAGUCUUUAUUGUACCCCUUAAGCUCUGUUAUACCAGAAAAAUCUUGUAAUGAAAUCAUUUUGUUUUUUUUUUCUUUUUAAAUUAAAUCCAUGAAAAUAAAGAUUAUUUUUAAUGGCAUCAAGAGAAUGGAUUUCUUGUUUAACAAAAAGAUAGUAUACAUGUUUUGCUAGGGCUUUGUAAGAAGCAGACCAGAAUUCUUUGCUUGCAAAUUUUGUCAUUCGCCAUUUUUAUUACGUCAACUAUUAGAUGAUUUAUCCAUGUUUGAAGCAUUUCAAAAUUGAUAUUUACUUACAGUUUAAAGCAGAAUUCUGUACUGAUAUGACCUUGACCCCCUGAAGAACAAGAGUGUCAAGGUCAAUUGUUAUACAAAAAUGUUCUUUCAUCUUUAUGGCCCAUAUCUUACAAAAAGUGUCUAGAAUGUGUCCAGAAUGUGAAAUAACAAACAUGUAUAUAGCCAAAAACUUUAAAAUGAUGUUGCUUAGCAACCACUUAAAGGUCAUUAAACAGAUAUUUGAACUAAAAUGAUACAUGGAUAUUGCAGUUCUGAUCCCUUCUUGAGAGUAUAUUCAGAAUUUUUCAUUUCAGCAUCCAUUGUGUAAAAUUAUGGCAAGAAUAUUGAAAAGUGUUGAAAAAAAUUGAUGAAACUUUUGCACUUAUUUGACCUUUGACCUCCUAAAAAUAGUUCUAAUGAGGUCAAACUUUAAGACAAUUUAUCUGUUGUAUGUCCCUUGUAAUUUUAUGA